GUUCAAUUUAGUUAAGGAGGGUGUAAGGCCUCUGUUAUGUCAUAUGCUGAUCACCACAGAACCAUAGGUGAAGCCCCAGUCAGCCACUGAGAUGAGGGCCUCCCAGUCUCCGUGCACAGAUGGAGCAGCCUAUUGUUUAUGCUGUCCACUCCACUCACUCACACAUUCACUCAACAGGCACUCAGGUCCAAUGUGAGCCACUCAUCAGGGAGCCAAGAAUCCUCCUCAAGACCUCUGUGAGUACUUGA
rnacentral:lncRNA from 1 species